rnacentral:rRNA from 1 species
CCUACGGGAGGCAGCAGUAGGGAAUUUUCGGCAAUGGGGGGAACCCUGACCGAGCAACGCCGCGUGCACGAAGAAGUUAUUCGUAAUGUAAAGUUCUUUUUACAGGGAAGAAAACGAAAUUUGACGGUACCUGAAGAAUAAGCUCCGGCUAACUACGUGCCCGCAGCCGCGGUAAUACGUAGGGAGCGAGCGUUCGCCGGAAUUAUUGGGCGUAAGGGGUGCGUAGAUGGCAUAGUAAGUCUUUUGUAAAAAUGCUGGGCUCAACCCAGUAGGGCAAAAGAUACUGUAAAGCUAGAGUAUGACAGAGGCAAGUGGAACGACAGGUGUAGCGGUAAAAUGCGUAAAUAUAUGUAAGAACACCAGUGGCGAAGGCGGCUUGCUGGGUCGAUACUGACAUUGAGGCACGAAAGCGUGGGGAGCAAACAGGAUUAGAUACCCGUGUAGUC